AAUAACAUUAAAAAACUCGUUAAUGUUGUACAUUAACGAGUUUUUUUUACUAUUAUUACGUUGCUCCCACAAAAUGUGGGAGCCCGAAAUUGUGUCUACUUCUUGCAAUCCGCAACAAAUAAAUUGCACUGCGAACAAAGUAUAUCAACAAAGAAAACAUUUUUGUUUCAUAAUUUCUUCGUUAUAUUCCCUUACAAAGCUAGCUUUAACGCUUCGAGGUUUCCUUUGUUCUUGCCGUCGCCUCGGCGCUUGUCCCAGACUUUCGCUCUGUAGUUGCUUAGUACUACAAAAAAUUCUAAAUCUGUGAUAUAUGAUUGAUAAACGUAAAGUUAACUGUAUAAACGUGUUCAAUGACUUUGUUACUUUUGAUGAUUGGAGAGCACUCGCUUCAAUUCGCACACGAAAACUUUAGACUCAGUUUGAAUGCUCACGCGGCAUGCCCACGUGACUGUACGUUGCACGGUCACCUAACUUUACGUUGCACGCGUACAUGACUUUCCGUUUGUGCCUUGAAUAAUGAAUAAGGCUAUGUCCACACGUACCAGCGUAUUUUUGAAACCGCUGAUUUUUCUAUGCGUUUGCACCUUUUGUCCACACGUAAUGUAUGUCUGGCCGUACAUUGUGUUUGUAUUUCCAGGCACAUUUCACGAAGCAGAACGCAGUCUUCAGAGAUAUCCACGUGAACGCUGUGAUACUGACCUUCAGUCCGAAGAAGAAACCCAGACCAGUCUUAAAAGAAAGCACAAACCAAAUGCCCUGUACACAUAUACGGACUCAGAGGAUGAGCAGCCUACAAAAAAUGGUUUCCCC
ensembl:lncRNA